rnacentral:rRNA from 1 species
AACGAACGCUGGCGGCAUGCCUAACACAUGCAAGUCGAACGAGAUCUUCGGGUCUAGUGGCGCACGGGUGCGUAACGCGUGGGAAUCUGCCCUUUGGUUCGGAAUAACAGUUGGAAACGACUGCUAAUACCGGAUGAUGACGAAAGUCCAAAGAUUUAUCGCCAGAGGAUGAGCCCGCGUAGGAUUAGCUAGUUGGUGUGGUAAAGGCGCACCAAGGCGACGAUCCUUAGCUGGUCUGAGAGGAUGAUCAGGCACACUGGGACUGAGACACGGCCCAGACUCCUACGGGAGGCAGCAGGGGGGAAUAUUGAACAAUGGGCGAAAGCCUGAUCCAGCAAUGCCGCGUGAGGGAUGAAGGUCUUAGGGUUGUAAAGCUCUUUUACCCGGGAUGAUAAUGACAGUACCGGGAGAAUAAGCUCCGGCUAACUCCGUGCCAGCCGCCGCAGUAA